rnacentral:lncRNA from 1 species
GUUUUCUUCCAAAUAUUUUUGUUCUAUGACUGGUUGAAUCCCAUGGAUAUGGAGGGCUUAGUGUAUUCUCGCUUUAUGGAUGAACAAACUCAGGUUACAGAAGCUACUCAGCUACUACAGAAUAACCUGCACAAGAGGAACUAGAAAAUGACUGUUCGAAUUCGCAUGCAGCACCGUCUAAUGCCAAGAUGUUCUCUGGACCACACUCUAAGUCUCCUAGUUGGUGAUGAUGAAACUUAUACUUCUGUGUCCUUGAGUCCGUAAUCACCAGUAGCCAUGGUUCAGCACAAUGCUCUGAACUAGUCUGCAUUUGACGAGCAAGGAGUCCAGCUGUUCGAGUCACCUGAAGUGGAAGAAUGGAGAAACACGGGAGAAUUUCUUCUUCUUUCUAGAAAGCUAAGGGGAGCAGGAUUUGGGCUGCAAGAUCUUGGGGAGAAGCAGUCUGGAGUUGAGGACAGUGCCUAUGGAGUGAUCUGUUCCAAAGCACGUCAACAUCAGAACACACCCGCUUGCAUCCAAGCCUGUUAUAUUCUGGUGGAAGAUGCCACUCACCAGCUCGCAGGUCACUGAUGACGGGCAAAGGAUACCUGUGGAUGGAAGUGCUUGCUCAAAUGUCAAGGACCA